AUGAAAGUUUUAGCGUGAUUAUAUUUUUGUUUUAAUAAUAAAAAUUUUUAUUAUUCUUCAGUAAAUAAUUAUUAUAAAUUAAGGUAACUUAGAUAUAGUAAUUUUAUUAUAGUAUUGGCGAAAUUUGUGCCAGCAGCCGCGGUUAUACAAAUAUACAAUUAAAAUAUUUUUAGUUAAAGUUAAAUGAUUUAUUUAAAAUUAAAAUAAAUUAUUAGGUGAAAUUUUAAAUUAUUAUUAUUUAUUAUUAAUAUAUUGAAGCUUAUAAAUUUUGUAAUUAAACUAGGAUUAGAUACCCUAUUAUUAAAAAUGUAAAUUAUAUACUUAAGUAGUAUUAGUUAUGUUCUUGAAACUUAAAAAAUUUGGCGGUAUUUUAGUCUAUUCAGAGGAACCUGUCCUGUAAUCGAUAAUCCACGUUGAACCUUACUUAAUUUUAUGGUUUAUAUACCGUCGUUGUUAGAAUAUUUUUUCAGAAUAAUAAUUUUCUAGAUUUUUAAUUAAUUUAUAUCAGAUCAAGGUGUAGCUUAUAAUUAAGUAGAGAUGGGUUACAAUAAAUUUAUUUAUAUGGAUUUAAAUUUGAAAGUUUUAAUGAAGGUGGAUUUGAUAGUAAAAUUAUAUAGAUUAAUAAUUUGAUUAUAGCUCUAAAAUAUGUACACAUCGCCCGUCGCUCUUAUUAUUAAGGUAAGAUAAGUCGUAACAUAGUAGAUGUA
rnacentral:rRNA from 1 species